UCCAAGCUCCAUAGUAAGUAAUUCCAAGCCCCGUUUUUAAUGAUUUUUACGUUUUUGAGAUCCCGGUAGCUCGAUUAAGCUUAUGCUAACAAUAAUUCAACUUAGGGUUCAUAUUUGGAAAAAUACCCAUAGGUGAAAUUUGUGUAUUUUGAUGUUUUAUGAUAGAAUAUGGGGUUUUAAAUUAUGUUAGACAACUUGUGCUACUCGGUUUUGAGUGAAAACGAGUAAAAGGGCUUAAUCGGUAAAAAUACCUAAUAGUCAUAAGUACAUGUUAGAGUGAGAAUUUGAUGUUGCCAUAGAAGAGAAAAGUGAUCAGCAUGUUGUAAAACAUAAGAAUAAGGAAUAAAGUUUAAUCCCGAGCCUAGGGGCAAAAAUGUAAAUAUGCAAAAGUUUAGGGGUAAAAUUGUAAUUUUGCCAAAAUUUGAGUUAAGGAUUAAUUUGAUAAUGUGAGUAUUAAAUAAGCUAAAUGUGUUAUUUUAGAUCAAGAAAGACGUGGAAUCGACCUCAAUCGAGGAAAAGAAAAGAUUGUGGACUAAAUUGCAAAAUCUUUGUAUUUUGGUACCAAGGUAAGUUCAUGUGUAAAUAAUGUAGCAUAAUGGUUAUUUUUAAGUUAUUGAUGUUAAUUAUAUGUUAUGCUGAAUUUUAUUAUGAAAUGUAUGCUUUGUGGUUAAUUUCAAAUAAUAUGUAAAUUAUGUGAACUACUUGUUAAAUAUAAUUGUUACCGAGUAUUGAUUUCGGCAUUCUACGGAAGACGGCAAGGAUAAGUGUUCGAGGAAAAAGCCCGUUUGAACCUUAGGAAUAGAUUAGGAUACAAGUGACAUGUCACUAGGAUGGUUGAGCAUCCGAACUCGUUGAGUUGAGUCCGAGUUCACUUAUGGAUGCGAAUGUCCGAACUCGUUGAGUUGAGUCCGAGUUCGUGAGAUGUAACUAGGCAUCCGAACUCGUUGAGUUGAGUCCGAGUUCACUUAUGGAUGCGAACGCCCGAGCUCGUUGAGUUGAGUCCGAGUUCGCUUAUGGGCGGGUUACAUGAUUGCUUGAUUGAAUAUGUGGCACUUAUAUGCAAGUUAUCCAUGUAUCCGAAUUAUAUUCCGAUGUGUUCAACAGGUAAAGUUCUACUCAAUGGAGGAAUAUUCGAGAUGUAAAGAGAAGUAGUGAGUGAUGUGAAAUGGAUAUUUUGGACAGGUAUGUAUUUAACCCUCGGGUUGAGUAUUGAUACAACCACUAUAAGGUAAUAAGAUGAUGAAAAAUGAUUAAAAAUGUGAUAUGUGUUUUAGUGAUGUAUGCUAAUGUUGAUUGGUAUAACUGUUUGUUAUGUUACUUAUUAUUUGCAUAUGAACUUACUAAGCAUUUAUGCUUACUCCCUCCUUCUUACUCAUUGUAGUUUUGGACAAGCCAGCUCAGGAGUCGGGAUAGGUCGAAGGCUCAGUCACACUAUCCGGAAGACUUUUGGUAAAUGGCUUGUAAAUUUAAGUAUGGCAUGUAUAGCAAUAUACCUAUUUUGUGUAAAUGAUCUUAUGGUAUGGUUGUGGAAUGGUUGAGGA
rnacentral:lncRNA from 1 species